GCUGAUGGCGGCCGUGCAGCUGGUGGAGUCCGGAGGGGGCCUCCAGACACCCGGGGGGUCCCUCACCCUCCGCUGCAAGGCCUCCGGCUUCACCUUCAGCAGCUUCAACAUGGGAUGGAUGCGACAGGCCCCCGGGAAGGGGCUCGAGUACGUCGCGAGUAUUAGCAGCAGUGGUAGUUACACAAACUACGCGUCGUCGGUCAAGGGGCGCUUCACCAUCUCCAGGGACAACUCCCAGAGCACGCUCACGCUGCAGAUGAACAGCCUCCGGGACGACGACACGGCCACCUACUACUGCGCGAAAAGUGCUUACGGUGGUUCUUGUGGUGCUGGUUAUAUUGGUGGCACCAGCCCCGGCACCGUGUCCCACCUUCCCUGUGUUGGGUCCCCUCAUCGACCAAUUUUGCCCCAGUCGACCAUUUUUGCCCCAAAUCUCAACCAUUAUCAUCAAACCCUGACCGAUUUCUCACCAGACCUCCAUGGUUUCACUCAACUCUUGACCGUUUGCCACAAACCUUGACCAUUUGCACCAAAUCUCGACCAUUUUAUCCCCAGAUCUCAAAUGAUUGGCACCAAACCUCCACCAUUUGUGCCCCAAACCUCCACCCUUCUUGCCCCAAACUUUCAUGGGUUUUGGCCAAUAUCUCGACCACUUUUGCUCCAAACCUUGACUAUUUCUGUCAAACCUGACCAUUUUUACCCUAAACCUCGAGGGCCUUUGUCCCAAAUAUCAUCCGCUUGCCCUUAAU